GAGGAAAUGCCAGGCGGGCGUUUCCCCACACCUGACCCUCAUGAAGACUGAAAUGACAAACAAAGCCCUACCACUGCGACCUCCUUCCCAGUGCUUCGUUGCUGUUGAGCCCACUCUAUAAUCUGUCAUGGCCAAGACGGAGGCUACAAAAAAGUACAAACGUGAGUCUCUGGCAGCUGACAUGAUCCGUCCAUCCUCCUCACAGAACAACUCCACGGGGAGACCGAACAAAGGAUGGAAGAGUGGGAGGAUAAACGGCAGAACAGGAAGUGCCGUGAAAAAGGGGACGAAGUGACACAGAAAAGAUGGAAGAGAAGAGCGAGAGACAGAGAAAGAAAAGUGUUUCUAAUCCUCCAGCCGGCUGAAUUUUCCCUGCAAAGUCUUCUAUUCACAUGAGACCAGCUUUAUGGUGUUAUGUAAAGACCUCAUGGAGUUAAGAGCCAUUUCUUCCAACCUCUGCCCUCUACCGAAGAUAUCAAGCUUGCAACUAUUUGAACACACCCCAGAGGCCACUCAGUAAGGAGAUUAUGUGUAUACACUGAUACAGAGAGCAUCAGACAGGCUUGAACUGGAACGACAGCUAAAAUGUGCAACUUAUUCUAGAAUAAGCAGAAUAAAUCUGGUAACUGUGGGUAAUGUAACAUCAGCCCUAGUUAAAGAACCUAUUAAACUGCAUGUAAAUUCAAACUUUCAUACCUAGAGUGUAAUUGGAGAAACACAUAAACUUGAACAAACAUUUAUUUCUGCACAUUUUCACUGACUGACACCGGCACUUUUUGAAGUGAUGCUUAACUAUACGAAAAUAAAAUAAAUAAAUAAAA